UGCAAACGUCUAAAACAAGAUUAACCAUUCCCCUCAAGCAAAGCACUGCAUCCAAACCCAAGAGAAAUUAACAUCUGCUAACAUAACUACUAACAUUGCUUUCUACUCACAGAGCAUCAACAAGUCGCCCUCUCUAUGAAGAUCUAGGGUCUGCUACCAACAAGACAACCUCAAAAACUAUAAACAACAAACCCGAGGUGAGAGGGGAAACCACAAUCGAGCCCGAACACACCAUCUUCCCCUGCCCCAAAGGAUAGGGGAAGCUAAAAUGAGAGCAUGCUAGGCAAAACCCGAGAGAAAAUCAACGGUGAGUAAAACUAGUUGAGAGGAUUUUCUCUCUCUAUAAACAAGAGAGAGAGAGAAUUUAUU
rnacentral:misc_RNA from 1 species